CAGGAAGGAGGAGGCAGCCAGAGUGUUCUCUGCAGCAGAAGACCCCUUGCUGCCCUGCUUAACCCAGACCAGCAUUUGCCAGGAUUCAGAGGGUCUGGAGCAGAUCUACCUCAGGGAGGACUCUAGAGAAUCGUCUGGGCCUAUUCAUCAGCCUACACAUUAUUUAUUUCAGUGAGCAGAAGAAGUGGAGACAGCAAAGAUCAUAUCUCUACACCAUCCUGAAGGACUGGAAUCAAGUAGGAGAACUUACCGAUAACAGAUUUGUGGGGCAUUUCUGGGAAAAGAAUCCCUAGGUUUCAACAGAGUCUAAAGUAAUUGCUGUGGUGGUGUUUUGUUUUUUUUAACUUUUUAACAGAAUACUGUUAUAUUUGUGUUUCAAGAAGAACUGAAGUAAAUUUGAACACAUA